rnacentral:rRNA from 1 species
CCGGGGGUAACCCGCCCCUUUUAGCGGGGGGUAACCCUUUGGAAACCAGGUGCUAAUCCCGCUUAAUUUUUUUUUCUGCCAGGAGUAAAAAGGGAAAGACGUUUUUGCGUCACUAAAGGAGGACCCCGCGCUGCCUUAGCUAGUGGUGAGGUAAACGGGCUCACCAAGGCCACGAGGCAUAGCCGACCUGAGAGGGGUGAUCGGCCACACGGGGACUGAGACACGGCCCAGACUCUUACGGGAGGCAGCAGUAGGGAAUCUUCGGCAAUGGACGAAAGUCUGACCGAGCAACGCCGCGUGAGUGAAGAAGGUUUUCGGAUCGUAAAACUCUGUUGUUAGAGAAGAAUAAGGAUGAGAGUAGAAAGUUCAUCCCUUGACGGUAUCUAACCAGAAAGCCACGGCUAACUACGUGCCAGCAGCCGCGGUAAUACGUAGGUGGCAAGCGUUGUCCGGAUUUAUUGGGCGUAAAGCGAGCGCAGGCGGUUUCUUAAGUCUGAUGUGAAAGCCCCCGGCUUAACCGGGGAGGGUCAUUGGAAACUGGGAGACUUGAGUGCAGAAGAGGAGAGUGGAAUUCCAUGUGUAGCGGUGAAAUGCGUAGAUAUAUGGAGGAACACCAGUGGCGAAGGCGACUCUCUGGUCUGUAACUGACGCUGAGGCUCGAAAGCGUGGGGAGCGAACAGGAUUAGAUACCCUGGUAGUCCACGCCGUAAACGAUGAGUGCUAAGUGUUGGAGGGUUUCCGCCCUUCAGUGCUGCAGCAAACGCAU